UAGUCUCCCUCUGCCUCAUCUUCAAGAUAGGAGUAAUAAAACCACCUACCUCAUUGGGUUACUAUAAAGAGUUAAAAUUAUCACAUAUACACACUUAAAAAACAGUGUCUGGUACAUAGAAGCUCUAAGUGUUGUUAUUUGUCUUCAGUCGAGGGAGAUUAACUGAGCACCAGACACCGAAACCACACAGGCGACAGACGGCUGCCCUGGAGGAACUACAGGCCGGGUGGAUAAGCCGGUGCUCAGAAGACCCAGUGGGCAGAGGACUGUGACAGAAACAAACCUGGGAGCAUGGCAGUGACCCACAGGACAGAGGCAGCCAGCCGGUUUACCAUGGUUCCCCUGAGCCUACAGAUCUCUGAUGGCUCCCAGUGGUGGCUGCAGCUUGAAAGUCACUCGGAGUAGAAGGGAGGAGCCACCACUUCUGAGCGUGGGCGAGGCCAGGAUCCUCCCUCCAGCAAUUUUACCUGUUUCCACCACGGGACAAGGAAGGGCUGUUAUGAGAGCUUUUCUUUAGCACUCCAUGAAGCUGCUGCAUUUGCUGAGGUCUGCACAAUGAGGCGUGUUGCCUCACUCUCCCAGGAAGUUUUAAGAGUCUCUGGCUCUGGAAAGGAAGACAUCCAUAGGCCUGCAGAAGCUUCCACCAAGCUCUUUCCCAAGGAACAGAAUUCAAACCCUGAUGCGCCAAGUCUAGAGCUGACCAGCCCUGGAGGCCAGGAAUGAUAUUAAGAUUUGGCAACAAUGUUCCUGGGUUUUGCCAAGGCAGGCCUAAAGCCCCCUGGGCCCAGGCCUCAUUGCCUGCCAAAGUUCACCUGUGGUCCUGGAGUUCCAUGCUAUGGCAGAGCCUCAGUUUUGUCAUCUAAAGGAUGUUUUGUCAUGAGGGACAUGAGAUGCUGUUACGUGAUAGUGCCAAGUAAGUCAAAGAUGCUUCAGAAACACAGGAUGAAUCAGAAUGUAAGUGCCCACAGGCUAGUUACUGGGCCCUCACCCAGUAGCGAGGACAGAUGGAAGUGGCCUCCCGAGGUCCUAUAGUGGGCUUCACGCAGCACAGGUGAGCCAAGGCGGAGGCUGUGUGCAGGCAGCACUAGGACCCAGGGGCCGAGUCUGGAGCCGGCUCAGCUGGGUAAGUUCACAGCCAGAACACAAUGUUCUCAGUGUACCCACAGGAAACCCUGAAGAGGAGAACUGCACAUGGCCUUCUGCUGGGUGUGUUCUGGUUCCAGCCUUUUAUUCUUUUUCCUAACCUCAGUCCCCACUUUCACAUCCUGUAACCUGCAGAGCUGCCUGCCCCACCCCGCUGGGCUGGUCCCAGGCCCUGGGAGAGCAAUCAAUGCAGGAAGCCCAAAGGCUGGCUGGCCUUCACAAUUUUCAAAUAAGACCGUUCGCCUCUAACCUUGGUUUCCUGAAUCGGCCCUUUGUGUUGGAAACUUUUCACAGUGCGGAAGGCAGACACCAGGGACAAAGCUGAGCUUCUAGCUGAGGCGAGGGUCUUGGCUCAGACGCAGGGAAACAGCUGAUGCCUCUGAACCACCUCCUCCCUUCCUCCCUGAAGGCCAGGCCCCACCUGGGACGGGGCGAGUGCCUCCACGGCUGCUGCAGAAAUCAGAAGGAGCUGGGAGCUGCCUGAGGAACCAGGGCCAAGUUUGGAGCAGAACAUCCUAUGAUGUGGUUCCUAGUUUUUAUUUCCACGAAUGCCAUAAUAUGUUGUCCCACCAAGCUAUUUUUACUGAAUAAAAAAAAUUUUUUUAAAGCAAACCUCUGCAAAACCAACAGCCCUCUGUUACAGGGAAGGACAAGGUGAACUUUUCACUUCCUUCCCCACAGCCUAUCAACUCAUCUGCGGUUUGGUGUCACCCACACUUCCGUACUAUAUUCAAUCUCA